UGCCGGCGACCGGCGGACGGGUGCGUAACGCGUAUGUAACCUACCUUUGACAGGGGGAUAACAUCGAGAAAUUGGUACUAAUACCCCAUAACAUCACCGGAGGCAUCUUCGGUGGUUGAAAACUCAGGUGGUCAGAGAUGGACAUGUGUUGUAUUAGCUAGUUGGUGAGGUAACGGCUCACCAAGGCGACGAUACAUAGGGGGACUGAGAGGUCAACCCCCCACAUUGGUACUGAGACACGGACCAAACUCCUACGGAAGGCAGCAG
rnacentral:rRNA from 1 species